ACGGGGUGCAGCAGGCGCGAAACCUUUGCAAUGUGCGAAAGCACGACAAGGUUAAUCCGAGUGUCUCCCGCUAAGGGAGUCUUUUGUCAGUUCUAGAACCACUGGUGAAUAAGGGGUGGGCAAGUUCUGGUGUCAGCCGCCGCGGUAAAACCAGCACCUCGAGUGGUCAGGAGGUUUAUUGGGCCUAAAGCAUCCGUAGCCGGUUGCAUAAGUUUUCGGUUAAAUCUAUGCGCUCAACGUAUAGGCCGCCGAAAAUACUGUGCAGCUAGGGAGUGGGAGAGGUACACGGUACUCAAUAGGAAGGGGUAAAAUCCUUUGAUCUAUUGAUGACCACCUGUGGCGAAGGCGGUGUACCAGAACACGUUCGACGGUGAGGGAUGAAAGCUGGGGGAGCAAACCGGAUUAGAUACCCGGGUAGUCCCAGCUGUAAACGAUGCAGACUCGGUGAUGCAUUGGCUUGUGGCCAAUGCAGUGCCGCAGGGAAGCCGUUAAGUCUGCCGCCUGGGAAGUACGUACGCAAGUAUGAAACUUAAAGGAAUUGGCGGGGGAGCAC
rnacentral:rRNA from 2 species